rnacentral:tRNA from 1 species
AGUGAGGUGGUGGAGUGGUUUUCAUGUUGUCCGUAUAAGUGGGUGGUCGCGGGUUCGAAUUCCGCCUCCACUA